UGGAAUAUUUUAUUUCGAUUCUGAUGAUAUAUCCAGGGCGUUAAUAUCACAUACAAAAAUGAAAUACCUUAAGUCUGUGUACACUUAUGAGCUUCGAAUAAAACUUCAAAAAUCAAACUUCAAAAUAGAUACUUAUCGACUUUAUAUGGAAAUGGGAAAAGAUAUUGAAAAAACUGAUAAGCUCGAACUGCGCAUGCCAUGGUAAUCAUAUUUACACAUGUUCAAUGGAUACUGAGCAACAUUUGUAUAAGUUUGUAUAAGCACGCACCGGUCAUGGAUCUAGCCACAAUGUGCUGAAUGUGAGGACUUGCAGUAGCAAACGUCAGUUUCAAACCAAUUACGCAUAUGAAUGAAAUAAAUACAGCCUUUUGAAUGGAUCCUGUUGCAGCUGUAGCCACAAGUUGCAAGUGGGAGUUCUGUGGCAUUUUACGCUGUUGCAAUUGCGUAAGAAAAGGUUAUAAAGAACGCAAUGCUUACAUUUCAUAUUAGCCGUGUACUUCAGAUGGGAAAAUAAAUGGCAGAGUGUGUUA